rnacentral:rRNA from 1 species
GUGGGGAAUUUUUCGCAAUGGGCGCAAGCCUGACGAAGCAACGCCGCGUGGAGGAUGAAGGUCUUCGGAUUGUAAACUCCUGUCGACCGGGACGAAUGCACUCGACCUAAUACGUCGGAAUGUUGACGGUACCGGUGGAGGAAGCCACGGCUAACUCUGUGCCAGCAGCCGCGGUAAUACAGAGGUGGCAAGCGUUGUUCGGAAUUACUGGGCGUAAAGGGCGCGUAGGCGGCCUUGUAAGUCUCGUGUGAAAGCCCUCGGCUUAACUGAGGAUCUGCACGGGAUACUGCGAGGCUUGAGUUCGGGAGAGGAAAGCGGAAUUCCGGGUGUAGCGGUGAAAUGCGUAGAUAUCCGGAGGAACACCAGUGGCGAAGGCGGCUUUCUGGACCGACACUGACGCUGAGGCGCGAAAGCUAGGGGAGCAAACGGGAUUAGAAACCCUGGUAGUCC